rnacentral:rRNA from 1 species
UACGUAGGGUGCGAGCGUUAAUCGGAAUUACUGGGCGUAAAGCGUGCGCAGGCGGUUUUGUAAGACAGUUGUGAAAUCCCCGGGCUCAACCUGGGAAUUGCAUCUGUGACUGCAUAGCUAGAGUACGGUAGAGGGGGAUGGAAUUCCGCGUGUAGCAGUGAAAUGCGUAGAUAUGCGGAGGAACACCGAUGGCGAAGGCAAUCCCCUGGACCUGUACUGACGCUCAUGCACGAAAGCGUGGGGAGCAAACAGG